rnacentral:sRNA from 1 species
CGCGGAACUGCUGGCCCCUUAUACCGGCGAUGUCGCUGCUGAGGGGAUUGGCAAGGCGCUGCGUAAUGGCGUGUUUCUGGCGCGCCACGUCUUUGAGCGUCAGCAGCGCUAUGUGGCAGAAGUGCUUACCGAAGAAUGGCGUCUGGCUCCAGGGGCACUGGAAGUGGCCUGGUUUGCUGAAGAAACGGCCGCAAUGGAACGUGCGGUUGACGCAUUUAGCCAACGCCUGGAUAAACUGGAGGGCAAAUGA